UGGGGAAUUUUGGACAAUGGGCGAAAGCCUGAUCCAGCAAUGCCGCGUGUGUGAAGAAGGCCUUCGGGUUGUAAAGCACUUUUGUCCGGAAAGAAAUCCUUGGCUCUAAUACAGUCGGGGGAUGACGGUACCGGAAGAAUAAGCACCGGCUAACUACGUGCCAGCAGCCGCGGUAAUACGUAGGGUGCAAGCGUUAAUCGGAAUUACUGGGCGUAAAGCGUGCGCAGGCGGUUUGCUAAGACCGAUGUGAAAUCCCCGGGCUCAACCUGGGAACUGCAUUGGUGACUGGCAGGCUAGAGUAUGGCAGAGGGGGGUAGAAUUCCACGUGUAGCAGUGAAAUGCGUAGAGAUGUGGAGGAAUACCGAUGGCGAAGGCAGCCCCCUGGGCAAGUACUGACGCUCAUGCACGAAAGCGUGGGGAGCAAACAGGAUUAGAUACCCCUGGUAGUCCACGCCCUAAACGAUGUCAACUAGUUGUUGGGGAUUCAUUUCCUUAGUAACGUAGCUAACGCGUGAAGUUGACCGCCUGGGGAGUACGGUCGCAAGAUUAAAACUCAAA
rnacentral:rRNA from 1 species